GGGGGCGAUCUUGGUUUCGACGAGUAUAGCGAAACUUGAGGUGCAUGUCGAGCAGGUAAGAAACUCGUUAAACUUUUUGCAAAAAAUUAGUUGCCAAUCAACAAGACAACUACGCAUUAGCGGCCUAAACAACCGGCUAUGCCUCCUCUCUUAAGGUGCUUGUAACUUAAGUAGAGGGGUCGACGCAUCAAGCUCGCGCGAAGGUAGACCCGAAGCCUGACCGUUAAAUAAAAAUUCGGAGAAGCCGGCUGCCGAUCCUGUUCGUCGGUCUCAGGCGGUAUGAUAGAAGACGAACUAAGCAUGUAGUACCAAGAGCGGAGUAUACGCGGACGCGGGUUCAAUUCCCGCCGCCUCCACCA
rnacentral:tmRNA from 1 species